rnacentral:rRNA from 1 species
CAAUAGCGUAUAUUAAAGUUGUUGCGGUUAAAAAGCUCGUAGUUGGAUUUCUGCUGAGAACGACCGGUCCGCCCAUUGGGUGUGUAUCUGGCUCUUUCUUGGCAUCUUCUUGGUGAACGUUACUGCACUUGACUGUGUGGAGCGCUACCCAGGACUUUUACUUUGAGGAAAUUAGAGUGUUUCAAGCAGGCAUACGCCUUGAAUACGUUAGCAUGGAAUAAUAAGAUAGGACCUCGGUUCUAUUUUGUUGGUUUCUAGAGCUGAGGUAAUGAUUAAUAGGGAUAGUUGGGGGCAUUCGUAUUUAACCGUCAGAGGUGAAAUUCUUGGAUUUGUUAAAGACGAACUUCUGCGAAAGCAUUUGUCAAGGAUGUUUNCAUUA